GUGUAAAUUGGGAAAGUUUUUGCCUCUUCCUUGGUUGCAAAUGAUCAGCACUGCAUAUAUGAGACCUAAGAGUCCCUCUGAUGACACCACACAUCUGGGAAUGAAGAACUUCUUAGAGCUGAUUGGAAAUGGCAUUGCGGAGCUGAAACUUAACUGGAGGAAAUAUAUCUCCUGAAGAAGAAAAUAUAAUGCACUGUAAGGAUCUGUCUUCUGGUGAAAAAUUCAAGCCUAGAGAAAACUUGUCUGCUUUGUUAGGAAGAAUGGGUUGGACAAUUUUCUUCAAUUCCAAAGGAUAUCUGAAUGCCAUGCUGAGCCUAAUCUCUGCAGCAUGCUCUGUGCUUCUCAUCUCUUCCUGAUGCACUGCAUGGUUAUUCUGAAGGGGAGGAUAAAGAAACUGGCCACCAAGAUGGUAAUCACAAGUGGAAAUGAAGAAGAUAAAGGCAGUCAAGAAAAGGAAAGCAAAGAAGAAACCAUCUUGGCAAUGCUUGGAAUUAUUGGGACAAUUCUGAACCUCAUUGUGAUCAUUUUUGUGUAUAUUUAUACAACGUUGUAAACUAGAAGGCAUGCAACUAGACCAGAUGAAAUGGCCAUUAAGAGUGACAACAAACACUGCUGACUAUUGACAAGUUCUUUAAUCAGAAUUGACUCUGUAUUAUAUUAACACAUCAUAAAAGCACUGCCUGAAGGCAGCGAAGACUGAAGCACAAUUAAUUUAAGAAGACUUUUUCACACAGUAAUAAGCUUAACUGUUCUCUUGCCUCUCCCUUUCGGUUUGGUUUUCAGUUUGGGGGAGAAUGACUGCAGUUAUAUAAGUUGUAGCUUUGAAGAAAUCCACCAGGGAUAUGUUGUUUUAACACAAAAAAAAAAAAAAACAAAAAAAUAAGAAAAAAAAAAAAAAAAAAAGAAAGGAAAAGAAAGAAACUGCAACCUAUAUAUAAUUAGAAAUGUAUGCUGUAUACCUGCAAAGAUUGAACUCAAAGAUAGCUUCAUAGCACAGAUCAUGUGUCUGUUAGGUCAAAUGUUUUUUUCUCUUGGUUUUUGCUUUUACUUACAUUGAAUCUGACAAGCUUUUUAUUUAGAAUGAACAUAUGGUGCAAUCAUGAAAAAAAAAAACAAUUCUGUUGAGCAAGUUCUGCCUAAACCUGAUAAAAUGUUGGGAGAAAUACAUUACAUGGUUAUUUUUCCUUUCUCAUUUGCUUAACAUCUGUGUUUGUUCAUACCAAUGUUUAUAAAUAUAUAUUUUUAAUAAAUGUGCUAUAUUUUUAGCA
rnacentral:lncRNA from 1 species